ACAUGGAGAAGUUCAUCUCUAAGUUAAUUUAUGUUACAUUCUACAAUCCAUACAAUGUCGUUUUCUACUUUCCUGAUAAUAGUGAGGAAAAGCUUAAGAGAAAUUAGAACUCCACAUCUUUAACUAUAGAGGUUCACCCAUGUGAUAAGUUAGCAUGCUCAUUGGAGGCAGUGCACCUAUAUUAAAAUUUACUAGUACCACAAAUGGCCUUAGAAAUCAACAGCUUGGCACAUUUAUCUUUUUAGCACGUAUCUGGCUGUAGUUCAGUUAACUUUUUGGCAUUGUUCAUAUAUUGGGUGCUUGAAGUGCAGUUUGUAGGCUCUUGUCGCGGCAUAAGUUAGUUUUGAUUGUUCAAUACUACGUUAGUUAACACAAAAUUCACUCACUUUGCACAGAAAACUCACUUUUAUGGGGAAGUUCAAUAAGUCCAUGAUUAAAAAUCACUUUUCUGUUGUCUGUGCACUUCGUACAGCUAGGGUGUUUACUAUGUUCAAUUCUUCUAAUCCGUGAAGCUCACUUCUCCUAAUCUGUGAAGCUCACUUCUCUUAAUUCACGUAGUUCACUUCUAGGAAGGAUAACAAGAUCCAUCUUGAGGUAACGAUGCUUUUCCGCAAGCUGCUCUCUGUAUGGUGUUUAUUAAGUUAACUUCUUCUAAUCCGUGAAGCUCACUUCUCCAAAUCUGUGAAGCUCACUUCUCUUAAUUUGUGAAGUUCACAUCUACUGUUAUUUUCAUUUUAUAUAUUCCCGCUAGAUAUAAUAUUUGUGAAUUUUGUGGCUGCAGGAUGGAUGAUCCGGUAAUACUCCAUGGGGAUUUCAACGCUAAAACUUAAGCAUUGCAACGAGCUUGGAAUUCUUGCGGCUGGCUCCUUGCGGUUGUCACUGCAAGUCAUGCUCUUCAUUGCGUGAAGCAGCCGAGCACAAGUGCACAACAGGAAUAAAGAAAUGUAGCUACACUGGACUUCCAUGUCGGUGCCUUCAUAUGCAUCUUUUCCUCUUGGCACAGCGACGCCGCCAGUGACAAGGUUGCUGGCCACACAACUGCAUCUGCUACGCGAGUAACGCUGCUCUUUGAAUCCCUCAUGCGUUCUCUUGUGGGUUUUCAAAUUUUAUUGCUUCUGUUCAUUUCCAUUUCAUAUUCUACCAGAAGUCCUCCAGGCGCCGUAGGAAGCUCGCUAUGGGAAAUUAGUAGUUCACUAUUUCUAUGGCGUGGAAAUUCAGUUCGACCGGGACAGCAAUUCAUCUAAAAAUGCUAGAAGUUCACUUAUUUUCGUAUUUGAAGUGAGUACCUAGUGACUGCAAGUAGAAACUUAGGGUGAUAUUUGUAUUUCGUUUUCUAUCUCUGUAGUCCUAUUCUCAGUCUUAUAAUGAUAAAAGUAAAUUUGGCUUUUUUUGCUAGGUGAACCUAAUGCUAUUUUCUAGCUUCGCUCUCUCACCCAUUUUUGUAUAAGUUGUAAAAAGUUAAUACACAAUACAUUUAUUAACUUUGAGAA